UGUAUUCGACCUGAGCUCAGGCAAGGCUACCCGCU
rnacentral:rRNA from 1 species